rnacentral:rRNA from 1 species
CCUACGGGGCGCAGCAGUGGGGGAUAUUGCACAAUGGGGGGAACCCUGAUGCAGCGACGCCGCGUGGGUGAAGAAGCGCCUCGGCGCGUAAAGCCCUGUCAGCAGGGAAGAAAAUGACGGUACCUGAAGAAGAAGCCCCGGCUAACUACGGGCCAGCAGCCGCGGUAAUACGUCGGGGGCAAGCGUGAUCCGGAUUUACUGGGUGGAAAGGGGGCGCAGACGGCGAUGCAAGCCAGGAGUGAAAGCCCGGGGCCCAACCCCGGGACUGCUCUUGGAACUGCGUGGCUGGAGUGCAGGAGGGGCAGGCGGAAUUCCUGGUGUAGCGGUGAAAUGCGUAGAUAUCAGGAGGAACACCAGUGGCGAAGGCGGCCUGCUGGACUGCAACUGACGUUGAGGCCCGAAAGCGUGGGGAGCAAACAGGAUUAGAUACCCUAGUAGUC